GAGUUUGAUCCUGGCUCAGAGCGAACGCUGGCGGCAGGCUUAACACAUGCAAGUCGAACGCAUCCUUCGGGGUGAGUGGCAGACGGGUGAGUAACACGUGGGAACGUACCUUUUGGUCUGGGAUAACUCAGGGAAACUUGAGCUAAUACCGGAUACGCCCUUUGGGGGAAAGAUUUAUUGCCGAAAGAUCGGCCCGCGUCUGAUUAGCUAGUUGGUGAGGUAAUGGCUCACCAAGGCGACGAUCAGUAGCUGGUCUGAGAGGAUGAUCAGCCACACUGGGACUGAGACACGGCCCAGACUCCUACGGGAGGCAGCAGUGGGGAAUAUUGGACAAUGGGCGCAAGCCUGAUCCAGCCAUGCCGCGUGAGUGAUGAAGGCCUUAGGGUUGUAAAGCUCUUUCGGCGGGGACGAUAAUGACGGUACCCGCAGAAGAAGCCCCGGC
rnacentral:rRNA from 1 species